GAUUAGAGCAAAUCUCAGAGCAUAUCUACAGGAAUUGGUGAAAUAUAAGGGAGAAAUUAUUGCCUGAACCAUGACCUGGUAGAUCACCCAAAUCCCAUGCUAGAUAACACGCCAUAUUAACCCUUGUAUUUCACGAAUUCCCAAUUACGCAUUACCCACCGUGCACCUGCUCUGAGAGUUGCACUAAUCUACCUGAGUAUGGCC
rnacentral:lncRNA from 1 species